UGACCUCGGAUCAGGUAGGGAUACCCGCUGAACUUAAGCAUAUCAAUUAGCG
rnacentral:rRNA from 1 species